UACAGGGGGUGCAACCGUUGCUCGGAAUCAUUGGGCGUAAAGCGCACGUAGGCGGUCUGUUAUGUCGGAUGUGAAAGCCCUUGGCUUAACUGAGGAAGUGCAUCCGAAACUGGCAGGCUAGAGUACUAAAGAGGAUCGCGGAAUUCCCGGUGUAGAGGUGAAAUUCGUAGAUAUCGGGAGGAACACCGGUGGCGAAGGCGGCGACCUGGGUAGAUACUGACGCUGAGGUGCGAAAGCGUAGGGAGCAAACAGG
rnacentral:rRNA from 1 species